AUUUGUUCAAAAGAAGACAAAGAUGUCUGGUUUUGUGGGUGUACUUGUUUCUGAUCCAUGGCUUCAAAGCCAGUUCACCCAAGUCGAGCUACGUACUCUUAAAUCCAAUUAUGUAUCGAUAAGGACUCAGGCAGGUCGCACCACAGUCGGCGAUUUGCCUCCUGUUUUUGUAAAAUUGAAGGCUUUCUCAGAGAUUUUUAAUGAGGAUGAGAUUAAGACUAUACUGGGGGAGUCUUAUUCAAACGCAGGAGAAGAACUUGAUUUUGAAACCUUCCUCCGGGCAUAUUUAAAUGUGCAAGCUCGAGUACCUGCAAAAUCAGGUGGAAGAAAACUGAAAUCUUCUUCUUCAUUUCUCAAAGCAUCAACAACAACUUUUCACCAUAACAUUAAUGAAUCUGAGAAGGCUUCCUAUGUUUCCCACAUUAACGGCUAUUUGGGAGAAGAUCCAUUCUUGAGUAAAUAUCUUCCAAUAGAUGCAGCAACAAAUGCUUUAUUUGAUCUUGUGAAAGAUGGAGUUCUUCUUUGCAAGCUUAUCAAUGUGGCUGUUCCUGGGACUAUAGAUGAGCGAGCUAUUAACACAAAAAAGGUCCUUAACCCAUGGGAAAGAAAUGAGAAUCACACCCUUUGCCUCAAUUCUGCGAAGGCUAUUGGCUGCACAGUUGUUAAUAUUGGAACACAAGACCUUGUUGAAGCUAGACCCC
rnacentral:misc_RNA from 1 species